UGAAAUCUUUCCAUGUUGUCUCACCUGGCCU
rnacentral:piRNA from 1 species